rnacentral:rRNA from 1 species
CUGGGCGCAGCCUGAUCCAGCCAUGCCGCGUGCAGGAUGACGGUCCUAUGGAUUGUAAACUGCUUUUAUACGAGAAGAAACACUGCUUCGUGAAGCAGCUUGACGGUAUCGUAAGAAUAAGGAUCGGCUAACUCCGUGCCAGCAGCCGCGGUAAUACGGAGGAUCCAAGCGUUAUCCGGAAUCAUUGGGUUUAAAGGGUCCGUAGGCGGUUUAAUAAGUCAGUGGUGAAAGCCCAUCGCUCAACGGUGGAACGGCCAUUGAUACUGUUAAACUUGAAUUAUUAGGAAGUAACUAGAAUAUGUAGUGUAGCGGUGAAAUGCUUAGAGAUUACAUGGAAUACCAAUUGCGAAGGCAGGUUACUACUAAUGGAUUGACGCUGAUGGACGAAAGCGUGGGUAGCGAACAGGAUUAGAUACCCUGGUAGUCCACGCCGUAAACGAUGGAUACUAGCUGUUGGAAGCAAUUUCAGUGGCUAAGCGAAAGUGAUAAGUAUCCCACCUGGGGAGUACGUUCGCAAGAAUGAAACUCAAAGGAAUUGACGGGGGCCCGCACAAGCGGUGGAGCAUGUGGUUUAAUUCGAUGAUACGCGAGGAACCUUACCAAGGCUUAAAUGUAGAUUGACCGGUUUGGAAACAGAUCUUUCGCAAGACAAUUUACAAGGUGCUGCAUGGUUGUCGUCAGCUCGUGCCGUGAGGUGUCAGGUURAGUCCUAUAAMGAGCGCAACCCC